GACGAACGCUGGCGGCGUGCUUAAAACAUGCAAGUCGAACGGGGGCUUCGGCCCCAGUGGCAAACGGCUGAGUAACGCGUGGGUGACCUACCUGGAAGUGGGGAAUAACUGCCCGCAAGGGUGGCUAAUACCGCAUGUGAUGGCGAGACCGAUCUCGUCAUGAAAGUCUUCGGACGCUUCGAGAGGGGCCCGCGUUCGAUUAGCUAGUUGGUGGGGUAACGGCCUACCAAGGCGACGAUCGAUAGCUGGUCUAAGAGGAUGAUCAGCCAGACUGGGACUGCGACACGGCCCAGACUCCUACGGGAGGCAGCAGUUAGGAAUUUUGGGCAAUGGGCGAAAGCCUGACCCAGCAACGCCGCGUGGGUGAUGAAGGCCUUCGGGUCGUAAAGCCCUUUUUCAGGGGAAGAUGAUGACGGUACCCUGAGAAUAAGCCCCGGCUAACUACGUGCCAGCAGCCGCCGUAA
rnacentral:rRNA from 1 species